GAAAGUAAGCAAGGGCAGACGGUGGAUGCCUUGGCUCUCGGAGGCGACGAAGGACGUGAUAAGCUGCGAAAAGCCCGGGGGAGGCGCAAAUAGCCGUUGAUCCCGGGAUAUCCGAAUGGGGCAACCCGGCAGGUUGAAGGCCUGUCAUCCCGAAAGGGAGGCGAACGUGGGGAACUGAAACAUCUAAGUACCCAUAGGAGGAGAAAAUAAACAAUGAUUCCGUAAGUAGUGGCGAGCGAACACGGAAGAGCCCAAACCCAUGUCGUCUAGGCGACACGGGGGUUGUAGGACCACGACGUGGCAAGAUAGAGUCAAGUGGAACGCCUUGGAAAGGGCGACCGUAGAGGGUGAUAGUCCCGUACACGACUGACGAUUGAAGCCUAGUGGUAUCCUGAGUAGCGCGGGGCACGAGAAAUCUUGCGUGAAUUAGCGGGGCCCAUCCCGUAAGGCUAAAUACUCCCGAGAGACCGAUAGCGAACCAGUACCGUGAGGGAAAGGUGAAAAGAACCCCGAGCAGGGGAGUGAAAUAGACCCUGAACCCGUCUGCCUACAAGCGGUCGGAGCGUCGUAAUGACGUGACGGCGUGCCUUUUGCAUAAUGAACCUACGAGUUACCUUCCCCGGCAAGGUUAAGUACCUAAGGUACGGAGCCGAAGCGAAAGCGAGUCUGAACAGGGCGCCAAGUCGGGGGGGGUAGACGCGAAACCGAGUGAUCUACCCUUGGCCAGGUUGAAGGUUGGGUAACACCAACUGGAGGACCGGAUGGGUAAGCGUUGAAAAGCUUUCCAAUGAGCUGAGGGUAGGGGUGAAAGGCUAAUCAAACUCGGAGAUAGCUCGUACUCCCCGAAAUGCAUUUAGGUGCAGCCUCUUUAUAGUAUAUCGUGAGGUAGAGCGACUGAUUGGAUGCGAGGGCUUCACCGCCUAUCAAGUCCAGAUAAACUCCGAAUGCGCGAUAUAUAUUUACAGGGAGUGAGGGCGCGGGUGCUAAGGUCCGUGUCCGAGAGGAGAAGAAUCCAGACCACCGGCUAAGGCCCCCAAAUGAUCGUUAAGUUGAACUAACGAGGUCGGAUCGCAGAGACAGCUAGGAUGUUGGCUUGGAAGCAGCCAUUCAUUUAAAGAGUGCGUAACAGCUCACUAGUCGAGCGAUCUGGCGUGGAUAAUAAUCGGGCAUAAACGAUCUGCCGAAGCCGUGGAUGUCGCAAGACAUGGUAGGGGAGCAUUCCAUGCGGCGUCGAAGAUGAGGGAUGACCCUUGUUGGAGCGCAUGGAAAAGCAAAUGUAGGUAUGAGUAACGAUAAGGGGGGCGAGAAACCCCCCCGCCGAAAGACCAAGGUUUCCUGAUCAACGCUAAUCGGAUCAGGGUGAGUCGGGACCUAAGGCAAAGCCGAACGGCGCCGCCGAUGGAAGAAUGGGUUAAUAUUCCCAUACUGCCUCAUGGAGUGACGUGGAGACGGAGAAGUGACAGUCCUGCCGGCUGACGGAAUAGCCGGUUGAAGGGUGUAGAUAUUGAUUCCCGUAGGCAAAUCCGCGGGGAGAGUCGAACCUGAGAGUAUACGGAGCGCUUGCGCGACGUAAUAUGGACGUAACCAUGCUCCCGAGAAAAUCCGCUAAACUUAUCCAUGCGGCACCCGUACCGUAAACGGACACACGUGGUCGGGUUGAGAAUACUGAGGCGCUCGAGUGAUUCACGGUUAAGGAACUAGGCAAAUUGACCCUGUAACUUCGGGAUAAAGGGUCCUCGUCGUAAGGCGAGGCGCAGAGAAUAGGUCCAGGCAACUGUUUAACAAAAACACAUGGCUGUGCUAAAUGGAAACAUGACGUAUACAGCCUGACACCUGCCCGGUGCCGGAAGGUUAAGAGGAGAUGUCAUCCGCGAGGAGAAGCGUUGAAUUGAAGCCCCGGUAAACGGCGGCCGUAACUAUAACGGUCCUAAGGUAGCGAAAUUCCUUGUCGGGUAAGUUCCGACCUGCACGAAUGGUGUAAUGAUCUGGACACUGUCUCAACCGUGAGCUCAGUGAAAUUGUAGUAUCGGUGAAGAUGCCGAUUACCCGCGAUGGGACGAAAAGACCCCGUGAACCUUUACUAUAGCUUAACAUUGAAUUUGGGUAAUUGAUGUGUAGGAUAGGCCGGAGGCUUUGAAGCAGGUACGCCAGUAUUUGUGGAGCCGACGUUGAAAUACGGCCCUUCGGUUGUUUGAGUUCUAACUCCUAGUUAGGAGGACACUGUAUGGUGGGUAGUUUGACUGGGGUGGUCGCCUCCAAAAGCGUAACGGAGGCUUCUAAAGGUGCCCUCAGACCGAUUGGUAACCGGUCGCAGAGUGUAAUGGCAUAAGGGCGCUUGACUGGGAGACAUACAAGUCGAUCAGGUAGGAAACUAGAGCAUAGUGAUCCGGUGGUUCCGCAUGGAAGGGCCAUCGCUCAAAGGAUAAAAGGUACUCCGGGGAUAACAGGCUGAUCCCUCCCAAGAGCUCAUAUCGACGGAGGGGUUUGGCACCUCGAUGUCGGCUCGUCACAUCCUGGGGCUGGAGAAGGUCCCAAGGGUUGGGCUGUUCGCCCAUUAAAGUGGCACGCGAGCUGGGUUCAGAACGUCGUGAGACAGUUCGGUCUCUAUCUAUCGUGGGCGCAGGAGAUUUGAGGGGCUCUGACACUAGUACGAGAGGACCGUGUCGGACGUACCACUGGUUUACCGGUUGUCCCGCCAGGGGCACCGCCGGGUAUCUAAGUACGGAUCGGAUAAGUGCUGAAAGCAUCUAAGUACGAAGCCGGCCUCAAGAUUAGAUCUCCCUCAAGGGUGGUUAUAGACGAUGACCUUGAUAGGCCACAGGUGUAAGGGCGGCGACGUCCGAGCCGAGUGGUACUAAUAGCCCGGGACUUUCCUCA
rnacentral:rRNA from 1 species